rnacentral:lncRNA from 1 species
CUUCUACACUUUUCUUUAAUGGCUUCUUCCCAUUUCGUGAUCUUCGUUAUAUUGUUAACAUUGUCGUUUUCAUGCAUUGGUGUUGCGACAGCAGGUCGUCGGCUGCAGCAACUGUUUGCCAACUUCCCUCCAUUGGAUCUUCCUCCAUUGCCUAAAACUCCAAAUGAUUUUCCUGUGCCACCAGUUGUGAAGUUGCCUCCUGGGCUGCUUCCUUCUAGACUUCCCUAUUCUUUUUUUCCCUUUCCACCAGCUGCUCCUUAAUUCAUUUUCCCACAAGGCCAUGAGAUUGGACAAGUGUGUUACCAAUACUAGUGAUCAAAAUAAGUGUCUUCAAUUAAUAAAUGUCCAUGAAUGUGAUGUAUAAUUGUCUAUUCAAUUAAUAAAUGUCCAUGAAUGUGAUGUAUCAUGUGGCCAUUUUAUCUUGGUUUGUAAUUUUUUAGGCCAGGUACAAUGCUUUUUUUUUUUUUUACCUUUAAUUAUAAAUCGCAUUUUAUCAAACUCUAUUGAAUAUAUAAUUUAAUUCUAGAGAGAGAAAAAUGAGGAGUCGAAAUUACAUAAAUCCCCAUAUCUAAGACAGACCAAUGAGGAGCUGACCAAAGAAAAUCUUAAUACAGUGACAAAGUCAUCUCAGCGAGUUAGCCCUUACUCUGAUAAUGCGUCUGCAACUGAGUAUACAUCAUAAAGAGUAUGGCAAAAACAAUUGGAGGCAUAGCAUCCGUACAUUCAAUAAUGAAAUUAGUAGAUGAAGUAUAUUGGUGGAGGGAUGAAUCUGGAUAAGAGACACAUGGAGUUAUUCAUGCAUCAGCCCUUCAACUUAGAGCCUGUUUGGCAUGAGUUUGGACGCCAGAAACAUAGUUUUUAGAAAAAGCUAAAAGAAUACUUUGUAUUCAUGUGGUGAACGAGUGUCAUGUUUAUUGCAGGGAAAAGAAUAAGGAAGCUACUAUUGAGAGCUGAAGUUAACAAGGACUUGCUGCUGUUGGCAGCUGAGUGAUAUUUGCUGCAACAAAUUUUCUUUAUUAAGUAAAUGAAAUUUUUGUAUAAGACAAGAUAUGUAAUCAUACUUAAGUAUGAGUUUGUUGAUUUUGUAAAGGUUUUUCUUUACCUAUAAAAGGAAGAAAUUGUGCUGUAAAAGUAAGGAGAGAAAAGAAAAAGAGAGAAGUGAUUUUCUAUAAAAGUAUUAUGAAAAGAAGAAAAAAAAAAAAAGAAAAAAUUUCUUUAUAUUACUCUAUUUUUCUUUAUUGAAAUUUCAUAUUUAUUUUCUCUUCUUCA